GAUGAACGCUGGCGGCGUGCCUAAUACAUGCAAGUCGAACGCUGGAAAUCUAGCUUGCUAGAUUGAAGGAGUGGCGAACGGGUGAGUAAUACAUAAGCAACCUACCCACGAAGACUGGGAUAAUCUCUGGAAACGGGGACUAAUACCGGAUAGGUAAUCGGAAGGCAUCUUCUGAUUAUUAAAGGUUAAAAACCCUGGUGGAUGGGCUUAUGGCGCAUUAGUUAGUUGGUGAGGUAACGGCCCACCAAGACGAUGAUGCGUAGCCGGCCUGAGAGGGUGAACGGCCACAUUGGGACUGAGACACGGCCCAGACUCCUACGGGAGGCAGCAGUAGGGAAUUUUCGGCAAUGGGGGAAACCCUGACCGAGCAACGCCGCGUGAGUGAUGACGGCCUUCGGGUUGUAAAGCUCUGUUGUAAGGGAAGAACGGUAGAUAGAAAAUAUCUAAAUGACGGUACCUUACCAGAAAGCCACGGCUAACUACGUG
rnacentral:rRNA from 1 species